rnacentral:rRNA from 1 species
CGCGAAUAGCUCAUUACAACAGCUAUAAUUUACUUGAUCUUGACACAAUCCUACUUGGAUAACUGUGGUAAUUCUAGAGCUAAUACAUGCAUUAAAGCUCUGACCUCACGGGAAGAGUGCAUUUAUUAGAACAAAACCAAGCGGCUUCGGCUGUUUCUGGUUGACUCAUAGUAACUGAGCUGAUCGCAUGGUCUUGCACCGGCGACGUGUCUUUCAAGUAUCUGCCGUAUCAACUUUCGAUGGUAGUGUAUCUGACUACCAUGGUGAUCACGCGUAACGGAGAAUAAGGGUUCGACUCCGGAGAGUUCGCCUGAGAAAUCGCGAACACAUCUAAGGAAGGCAGCAGGCGCGAAAAUUACCCACUCUCAGCACGAGGAGGUAGUGACGAAAAAUAACGAGACCGUUCUCUUUCGAGGCCGGUCAUCGGAAUGGGUACGAUUUAAACCCUUUAACGAGUAUCUAUGAGAGGGCAAGUCUGGUGCCAGCAGCCGCGGUAAUUCCAGCU